rnacentral:rRNA from 1 species
GAUGAACGCUGGCGGCGUGCUUAACACAUGCAAGUCGAACGGUGAACCCGGAGCUUGCUCUGUGGGAUCAGUGGCGAACGGGUGAGUAACACGUGAGCAACCUGCCCCUGACUCUGGGAUAAGCGCUGGAAACGGCGUCUAAUACUGGAUAUGUGACGUGACCGCAUGGUCUGCGUUUGGAAAGAUUUUUCGGUUGGGGAUGGGCUCGCGGCCUAUCAGCUUGUUGGUGAGGUAAUGGCUCACCAAGGCGUCGACGGGUAGCCGGCCUGAGAGGGUGACCGGCCACACUGGGACUGAGACACGGCCCAGACUCCUACGGGAGGCAGCAGUGGGGAAUAUUGCACAAUGGGCGCAAGCCUGAUGCAGCAACGCCGCGUGAGGGAUGACGGCCUUCGGGUUGUAAACCUCUUUUAGCAGGGAAGAAGCGAAAGUGACGGUACCUGCAGAAAAAGCGCCGGCUAACUACGU